GAUCCUGGCUCAGAUUGAACGCUAGCGGGAUGCCUUACACAUGCAAGUCGAACGGCAGCACGGACUUCGGUCUGGUUGGCGAGUGGCGAACGGGUGAGUAAUGUAUCGGAACGUGCCCAGUAGCGGGGAUAACUACGCGAAAGCGUAGCUAAUACCGCAUACGCCUACGGGGAAAGCAGGGAUCGCAAGACCUUGCACUAUUGGUAGCGGCCGAUAUCGGAUUAGCUAGUUGGUGGGGUAACGG
rnacentral:rRNA from 1 species